rnacentral:rRNA from 1 species
AGUGAACGCUGGCGGUAGGCCUAACACAUGCAAGUCGAACGGCAGCACAGUAAGAGCUUGCUCUUACGGGUGGCGAGUGGCGGACGGGUGAGGAAUACAUCGGAAUCUACUUUUUCGUGGGGGAUAACGUAGGGAAACUUACGCUAAUACCGCAUACGACCUACGGGUGAAAGCAGGGGAUCUUCGGACCUUGCGCGAUUGAAUGAGCCGAUGUCGGAUUAGCUAGUUGGCGGGGUAAAGGCCCACCAAGGCGACGAUCCGUAGCUGGUCUGAGAGGAUGAUCAGCCACACUGGAACUGAGACACGGUCCAGACUCCUACGGGAGGCAGCAGUGGGGAAUAUUGGACAAUGGGCGCAAGCCUGAUCCAGCCAUACCGCGUGGGUGAAGAAGGCCUUCGGGUUGUAAAGCCCUUUUGUUGGGAAAGAAAAGCAGCAGGUUAAUACCCCGCUGUUCUGACAGUACCCAAAGAAUAAGCACCGGCUAACUUCGU